rnacentral:rRNA from 1 species
UACCAGCUCUCCGAGUGGUAGGGAUGAUUAUUGGGCUUAAAGCGUCCGUAGCCGGCUUAGCAAGUUUCCUGUUAAAUUCAGCGACCUAAUCGUUGAGCCGCGGGAAAUACUACUAGGCUAGGAGGCGGGAGAGGUCGACGGUACUUCCGGGGUAGGGGUGAAAUCCUAUAAUCCCGGGAGGACCACCAGUGGCGAAGGCUGUUGACUAGAACGCGCUCGACGGUGAGGGACGAAAGCUGGGGGAGCGAACCGGAUUAGAUACCCGGGUAGUCCCAGCUGUAAACGAUGCGAGCUAGGUGUUGGGGUGGCUACGUGCCACUUCAGUGCCGCAGGGAAGCCAUUAAGCUCGCCGCCUGGGGAGUACGGCCGCAAGGCUGAAACUUAAAGGAAUUGGCGGGGAGCACCACAAGGCGUGAAGCUUGCGGUUC